rnacentral:rRNA from 1 species
CCUACGGGGGGCAGCAGUGAGGAAUAUUGGUCAAUGGACGAGAGUCUGAACCAGCCAAGUAGCGUGAAGGAUGACUGCCCUAUGGGUUGUAAACUUCUUUUAUAUGGGAAUAAAACGUUCCACGUGUGGGAUUUUGUAUGUACCAUAUGAAUAAGGAUCGGCUAACUCCGUGCCAGCAGCCGCGGUAAUACGGAGGAUCCGAGCGUUAUCCGGAUUUAUUGGGUUUAAAGGGAGCGUAGGUGGAUUGUUAAGUCAGUUGUGAAAGUUUGCGGCUCAACCGUAAAAUUGCAGUUGAAACUGGCAGUCUUGAGUACAGUAGAGGUGGGCGGAAUUCGUGGUGUAGCGGUGAAAUGCUUAGAUAUCACGAAGAACUCCGAUUGCGAAGGCAGUUCACUGGACUGCAACUGACACUGAGGCUCGAAAGUGUGGGUAUCAAACAGAAUUAGAUACCCUAGUAGUC